GGGGUCGACCGGAAUUGACAGGAUGGACGAUAAGUGUGUAAGCAUGCAGUGAAUUGAGAAUGCAUCACUAUAAUCAGGAUUCUCAAACAACAAAAGGCGAAAAUAAUUACGCUCUUGCUGCUUAAUCUUAAAUGAUUUAAGAUUUGCCCUAGUCUCGCUAAAGUAGCGGAAGCAGGAUGUUCCCCAGAGGUUCUAGCCAACGACAUCUGAUAUGGGAGCACCGAAAAGUUGGAAUAAGGAUACAAAUGUUUCGAUAGUAUCCCGACAAUUUUAGAAACUAAGACUAAUGCAGGCUGUUUGUGGCCAUCUUUAGUUCGAAAACCAAACACAAAAUAAGCAUGUAGAAAGCGCAACUGAUCCCAUGUUUGGACGAGGGUUCGAAUCCCUCCGACUCCACCA
rnacentral:tmRNA from 2 species